UCAAAAAUCUACAACUAAAAUAAUCUAAAUAUUGAAGCAAGUGCAAGCAACCUAAAAACCGUCUGGGAUGCACACAAAACUCCAGGUAGGUGUGAAAAUGAGCCCCUAAGCAUUAUAAAGUGCAAUUCCCCUUUAAGCUUUUACAUAUGUACUGUCUCUCUCCUCUUACUCAUCAAUUCAACAGAGAACAACACACAUCUUUGGUUGACUUUGAGAGCACGGGUUGCACACAAAUUGAUUGCUUUUCACGCAGUUGUCUUUAGCCUUAUUCCAAUUGCAUUUGCUUACUUGGCACUGUGUUUUCUUCCCAGGAGUGAUGGGUGUGCAAGAUAAUGCUGCUAGCGUGGCUGUUUUGGCAGCUGCUGCUUCUCUUCGACUUCUUGUAAUUUUCACGCAGCUCACAUGUCAGUGAUGGGAAAAAAAUACACACGUGUAUGCACCAAUCAGAGUUAUGGUACCUACAGCCAAUCAGAGGAAGAGGAGCUCACAACCAAUCAGUGAGCAGCAAGGAAUAGCCUUUUGCGGCCCAUACUUGGAGAGGACGGGAGCUGAUGAAGCAUGGCGGAUGCUCAGAUCAUCAAAACCAAUGGAGAAAAGUCAACAUACGCAAGGAGCCCCCAGGACCGAUUCUGA